rnacentral:lncRNA from 1 species
UCCAAAGUCAGCAGGAGGAAGUAGAAAUGAGACAGAGGCCUCUGUCUCCUAAUCUUUUCCAUAGGCUACUGUUUUCUUUCUUUUCUCAUGAGGAAAAAUGAUAAAAGCAAAAUAAACAAAUUAGCUACCACUUAUGAAAAUCCCCAGGAAAUUCCUUUUCCAGAGUUCUCACUUACUAAUUUGGCUAACAUUACCAAUGGUAACAGACCCCACGUAUCCGCCACAAUUGCUGUGAGUUGCAGAGGAAAAAGACUGGGAGGAAAUCUUCACUUUUCUUCUGCAACAGCAACCAACAGAAAUGAAAGAGCCAGGGGAUUUUGCAAAAUAUCAACUCCUGAGAACUAAGAAUGAGAGCCUUUCCUGCCAAGCCCAUUCUGUGCCAGUCAUCAUAAAAUACUAUGACCCUUCCUUCCAGAAGAACAAUGCGCUGUGAUCUUUGGCUACUCAAGCUUUACAUCAUCCAUAUUACCCUGCAGCAGGAACAGAUUGAUGGGGAUUCUAUAGCACAUCCUUGAAUUGUGUUUAUCCAAUCCACAUUUCUCUUCUGCUGGACAUUCAGAGGACUGUUUCUCACUAAUAUCAGGUAUGCGGGUCUGGCGAUGUUGCCAUCUCAAUGCCCAGCCAGCUGGUAAGGGAGGGUCACAAGACCCAAGAUGGGUAAUUGUAGUUACCCACACACCUAGCUAUGGUGAUUGGUCUAAAAUGAUAGUAAAUUGCUCAAAUCCAGCCAGAGCAUCUUCCCAAAGAUUUUUUUUUAAGAAGCCUUGUUCCAAUGAUGUAUUGGAGCUAAUCAAUGGGCUCUUACUGGUUCAUACAAGCCAACUGCUAAAUUUUCAGGAAUUUUGCAAGCUAGUCAAUAAAAUGCUGGCAGCUUGAAAUCAGCCAUGAUGGGGGUAUUUACAGCACAAAAAUGUCAAAGUGCUACAAGUUGGGAUUUCUCUUUUUUAUUUUAGCUUUUAAUUUCAAAGAACAAAAACAAUAUCUUUUCUUUAUAAUCUUUCCUCCAAGAAUGUAUUCUGUUAUGCUUAACACAUCUUUGUGAGUCACAUUAUGAGGCUUUAAUCACAAUAACGGUAUUAUAGUGAGAUGUGGUAGUGUUAGGAUGGGAAUCAGGAAUGAGGACAUCGUGUUUUUCAGACCUAAGGUCUCACUUCUACAGACAACAUUGAACAUUCAGGUUUCAGAAUCAGAGAGUUGAGUUCAAAUCCUACCUCUGGCUCUCACAAUCUAACAUGGGCAUGUUCCUCAAGCCUAUCUUCAGGAUGGUUUGGUUGUGUGUUAAUAUUUGAUAGAGAGGUAUAAUCUUUCCCUAAAAGUGAAUUUCCUCUCCCCUUACCUCGAAGUGCUUCCCAGAAUUCACAGAAUGUUUUGUCGCAUAUUUUUUAAUUCCAAAAUUCUUGGCAAUAAUUUUCUAGACCGCACUGUAUCUGCUGAUAAGCACCUUGUGUCUGUGUGGCAUUUUUUACUUUUCAAACUAUUUUCCAAUUUCUGCCGCACUAGAUCAGAUUCUUGAAAUGCAGCCUAUAUCUGAGAUAGCAUUCAUCUCAAAGAGAGACAUAGUUUGGUGACUUCUUAAGAAAUUUGAAAGGAUCUGUUCAUUUGUUACCAGCAACACCUUUUGUUGAUAAAGUGCCUUAUGAAGUUUUCAUUGAUUAUGAACUCACCAGUACAUAUGUGAUUAUACACCCCAAAAAGGUGUCAAGCUUUGAGCCUAACUUACCAUACAGCUAUGGAUAGAUAGAUAGAUAGAUAGAUAGAUAGAUAGAUAGAUAGAUAGAUAGAUAGACAGAGGCAUACAUACAUACAUGUGUGCAUAUAAUGACACAUAUAUACAUAAAGGCCCAGAUGCAGAACAAAAUUUUUGCUUUGAGAAAUGCUGUGGUCUAGUUGGUUUGGAAAUUCUGGUACCUUAGCUUAUACACCAGGAGAUGUUGAUGAUUAAUUUUAGUUGUUAACUUGAUUGGAUUAAGGAAUACUCAGAUAGCUGGUAGGGCAUACUUUUGCCAUAUGUCUGUGUGGUUGUUUAUGGAAGAGAUUGGCAUUUGAAUCAGUGGGCUGAGUAAGGAAGAUCUACCCUCAUCCAAGGUAGGUGGACAUCAUCCAAUCAGCUGAGAGCCCAGAUAGAACAAAAAGUCAGAGGAAAGGUGAGCUUGCUCUCUCUCUUCUCUCUCUCUCUCUCUUCUGAAGUUGGAUACCCUCCUUCUCCUUCCUUUGGACAUCAGAACUCCAGGUUCUCCAGUCUUUGGACUCCAGCAUUUGCACAAACACCUGAAGGUUCUCAGGCCUUCCGCCUUGGAAUUGGAGCUACACCACUGGCUUCCCUGGCUCUCCAGCUUGCUGAGGGCAUAUUGUAUAACUCCUCAGCUUACCUAAUUGCAUGAACCCCUAAUAAGUUCUAUCUAGUGCCCUAUUGGUUAUGUCUUUCUGGAGAACCCUAAUACAAAUAUCAUACUUAAAUUUCACUGUUCAUUUCAAUAAAUAUUUAUUGAGCACAUUUCUGUGUUAGAGACAGAGACAUCUGUACUUGAAUCUCUCAAGCAAAUCUCCAUCUUUAAAGAAUGUAACCUGAAUUUUUUGAUCAUUCAAAUCAAAGUAUUCUCAUAAGUAACAUUUAAUGUAACUUGUUAAUUUUCCAAUGAUUCUUACUCUCAGAAAUUGUUUGGUUGCUUCAUGAAAUUAUUACAAUGAAAUAUUUCUUCUAAAAAACUUCCUCAGCUAUUUGUCUCAGUCAGCUAGGGCUGAUAUACCAAAAUACCAUAGACUGGGUGGCUUAAACAAUAGACAUUUAUUUCUCAUAAUUCUGGAGGCAACAUGCCCAAGAUCAGGGUGCCAGUAUGGCCAGGUUCUUAUUGAGGGCUCUCUUCCUCACUUGCUGAUGGUCACCUUUCUGCUGUAUCCUCACAUAGUGGAGAGUGAAAGUUCUGAUGUUUCUCCCUCUUCUUAUAAGGACUGAUGCCAUCAUGGAGGCUUUACCCUUAUGACCACAUCUAAACCUAAUUCCUUUUCAAGAGCCCCACCUCCUAAUACCAUGACACUGGGGAUUAGGGCUUCAACAUAUGGACUUUGGUGGACCACCAACUUCAGUCCCUAACACCACUGCUAUAAGAAUGAAUGUUUGUGUCUCCCCAAAUUCAUAUUUUGCAAUCUAAUCCUUAAUGGUAUAAUAUGAGAAGGUGGGGCCAUUGGGAGAUGAUUAAGUCAUGAAGGCUCUGCCCACAUGAAUGGCAUUAAUGCCCUUAUAAAAGAAACCCCAGAGAGCUAGCUGGCCUUGUCUGUCAUGUAAGCAUGCAGCAAGAAGGUGCCAUGAGCAAGAGAGCAAGCCUUCACCAGACACCAAAUCUGCCAGCAGCUUGAUUG